AUUGAACGCUGGCGGCAUGCCUUACACAUGCAAGUCGAACGGUAACGCGGGGCAACCUGGCGACGAGUGGCGAACGGGUGAGUAAUGCAUCGGAACGUGCCCAGUAGUGGGGGAUAGCCCGGCGAAAGCCGGAUUAAUACCGCAUACGACCUACGGGUGAAAGGGGGGGAUCGCAAGACCUCUCGCUAUUGGAGCGGCCGAUGUCAGAUUAGGUAGUUGGUGGGGUAAAGGCCUACCAAGCCGACGAUCUGUAGCUGGUCUGAGAGGACGACCGGCCACACUGGGACUGGGACACGGCCCAGACUCCUACGGGAGGCAGCAGUGGGGAAUUUUGGACAAUGGGCGCAAGCCUGAUCCAGCCAUGCCGCGUGCGGGAAGAAGGCCUUCGGGUUGUAAACCGCUUUUGUCAGGGAAGAAAUCUUCUGAGUUAAUACCUCGGGAGGAUGACGGUACCUGAAGAAUAAGCACCGGCUAACUACGUGCCAGCAGCCGCAGUAAAAC
rnacentral:rRNA from 1 species